AGUGAACGCUGGCGGUAGGCCUAACACAUGCAAGUCGAACGGCAGCACAGGAGAGCUUGCUCUCUGGGUGGCGAGUGGCGGACGGGUGAGGAAUACAUCGGAAUCUACUCUGUCGUGAGGGAUAACGUAGGGAAACUUACGCUAAUACCGCAUACGACCUACGGGUGGAAGCAGGGGAUCUUCGGACCUUGCGCGAUUGAAUGAGCCGAUGUCGGAUUAGCUAGUUGGCGGGGUAAAGGCCCACCAAGGCGACGAUCCGUAGCUGGUCUGAGAGGAUGAUCAGCCACACUGGAACUGAGACACGGUCCAGACUCCUACGGGAGGCAGCAGUGGGGAAUAUUGGACAAUGGGCGCAAGCCUGAUCCAGCCAUACCGCGUGGGUGAAGAAGGCCUUCGGGUUGUAAAGCCCUUUUGUUGGGAAAGAAAUCCAGCUGGCUAAUACCCGGUUGGGAUGACGGUACCCAAAGAAUAAGCACCGGCUAACUUCGUGCCAGCCGCCGCUGUAA
rnacentral:rRNA from 1 species